rnacentral:lncRNA from 1 species
AUAACAGUAAGCAAAUAUUCACUUCUUGUCCUUUCCUAUUUCCUUUUUGCAUUUGCAUGGCCUCACAGAUGUAAUGCUUUCUGCAGGUGCUUACUAUUGGAUGCCCAUAAGUGUAGAGGGCAACAAGACUGAAGAAGAGGUCCAAAAUUUGGUGAGAAUGACAAAUUUCACUAGUCCAUCCCGUUACGUUUCUCAUAAAUCUUUCAGUUAACACCCCAUCAUUGACACAUGCUUUUACAAACAAGCCUUGUAAGCACAAUGUAAGUUUAUGGGAGCAGCGUAUUCCAACCCUGUGAAUCACCUGAAAAUAAUUUAGAUUUUUUUACGCCAAAUAUUUGUUGCUUUAUUACCACUUUGACCUUUUACAAAUGUUGCUCCCACUGUGUUAUAAGUAUGUUUCUUUAAACGCCUUUUUUUUUUUUGCUUUCUUCAGUGUCUUCUCUUCUCCUUUCCCAUCAUUCCUAACUUAAAUGAACACUUCCUACAUAAUAUUCUUACUGACACUUGAUGUGCAGUUCUCAGCCUAUGUCAGAUAGACCUUUCUACGUUAAGACCAUGAUUAUUAGCUGUCUCUGGUACCUAUCUUUGCAUUGUAAAGCUAAUGAUAAAACAAAUGUAAUAAUCAAAUAAAAUGUAAUGGCAACAGCAGUAAUAGAUAUACAAAUUAUUAGACAUUGUAGAUAUAUUCACAGUUAUUUCGACUAGUCAUUUCCUCCCAAUAACCCUUUUUGCUUUGUUGUUUGGUAAUGAGUUUCUUUCUGCAAAGCUGAAGGAGAGGAGAAAAAAGGUGUCAAAAGCAUUUGGUUGUCACAAUGACAGUGUUGGUGCAGCAGAAGGAAAAACAGGCUCUUUAAAUUUCUGUCAGGGUGACAGACAACUUCAGGUCAGUACAGAAAACGACAACACCUUAUAUACUUUACAGAAUCAAAUUUCUCCUGUAAGCCUGGCUCAUGGCUUUAACUCUCCUUUCUCUCUUUGCAGGUAGUUGAAGUGUCCUGUAGUGCAAAAAGGAACAUAAGGUAAAAAGGAUAUGAAGAGCUGCUUUGUACAGCUGUUACAUGUGCAGCAGAUUGUGCGUCCUCACAUGAAACACUUUUGUUUCCAGCCAAACUGCCUGCAAUGUGGUGCUGCUGCUCAACCAUGCUGUCUCAGUGUGUGAACUUCAACAAGCUGGAGACGCUGCACUGCAGCAAGCGAGAAUCAUAGGGGAGAUGGAGAGAGUCGGUGAGCGCUUGUUUCCUUGCCUUUGCCUUCACUCUGUUUUGUCUGUGAAUUAGUUCCCCGGUCUUCUUUGUCCAUCUUCCUGUUUUACUUUGGCAACUGCUCUUUCUUGUGUGCUGCUUCCUUCCUUGUUCCCUGACUGCAGUAAAAUAGUUAAAAAUAUGACCUCCUAUCUUCUUGAUAGAAAUCAUCAUGGUGUCAAGGAAAAGUGUGAAAAGGAAAAGAGGACCACAGUACCCAGGGUAUCUGAUUGCACUUAUUCAGUGCUUGCACAAAGCUCCUGAUAAUGCUGCUGAUGUGGCUUUGUUGUGUUGACAACAGCAGUGUCCUGAAGAUGGAUUAUAAAAAGCUCAUCUUAGAUGCUUUGCCCAGUGUGUUCUUACAAAGUUGUUUCAUGCUGGUCAUGUAAAAGAGAACAACUAGUUAAAAAUAUACUGCCCAGCCAAAAAAAAAAAAAAAAAAGUUUAAAAAACAUACAAAUUUUAAAAUUAAUGCUCUUACACUAUUUACUUAGGUAAAUCCAGGUGGUGACUUAAGUUAAUAUGUAUAAGUUCAUUACUAAAAAUCAAUAAAUAGUAUCAAAUCAUAGGGGUGACACAUUGAGAUAUGUGCUCUAAUUUUCUCUCCCUGUUAAAGAGAUGAUCCCUUGUUAAUACUUGUGUGACUUAAGUAAAAUUUAUGCUUGAUAAUACCUGAGGCUGAAAAUACAGCAAUAGACCUAGCUAAUGAAAAGUGAAUUAUGGUAAAAGAGGCCUUCCCACCUAACAGAUUGAGAGAUGUGGUACACUGUGGACAAAAAAGUCUGUCACAUGGCUAACAUGUGACAGACAUUCACACUCACAUUCAGACCUACGACCAGUUUAGAAACUAUUUGCACAUGCAAAUUCCACACAGAAAGGCUCCAGUUUCAAGGCUUCAAGUCCAGGACCUUCUAGCUGUGAAUCAUCAGUGCCACCACUAUCCUGUCCCCAAAACUUAAUCAUAUCAAAACAAAUAUUUAACUCAUUAAAUGGAAUCAUGUGAACC